CAUGAGUCAGAAAUAACUCCAGGGCAGUGGAUUUCACGGUUGGACUUUAUGAAUGAACCUUAAAUUAAAUUCAACAUUUGUGGAAAACAUGCAAGCAAUUCACUCAAAGGUAGCACUUAUUUUUUUAAAGAUGAAACAAUGUCUGCAUAAAUACAUUCUUCGCUGGACAUAGGAAAGAUUAUAUAACACAUUGAUAAAAAUGAAAACAGCAAUGAAUGAAGCUGGCAUAUUCUGCCCCCUAGUUGCCAAAUUGUAUGCCUAAUCAUGACAAUUACAUUAAGCUCCCGAUGAGGACUUGUAUUCCUCCCUCUCCUUCCUGUUUCACAUUUUCAUGGAGGUUUUCUUCUGUGAAGUCCGGCAGGAGAAGGUGAAAACGUGCCCGGUGAAGGAUGCGAUGAAGAUGCAGCCGAGAGGCUACCACUUACCAGAGGGCCAGUUCAUAGUCCGGGAGGGAGGAGUAGCUAGCCAGUGGUGUCCUUUUGCCUUCUCCUAUGACUGUGUUUGAUGGAGCCCUGCUGGCCCUCUCUGGACUGAAUUCUUUAUGUUAAAAAAAAAACCAGGUAUACUGGUCAAAUACAAUCAAUAUUUUAUGGCAGAAAGAAUCAUGUGAUAUUCCCAUCGUCACCAAGGAAGUGGUCACCAACUUCAUUGCCCUCUGCUUAGCUCUCAGGACCUUCCGAAGAAACUUCAUCCUGAUGGGUAGGAAAGUCAGCAGCUUGACUGAAAUCGCAUUUGCUGUUGUUAAUAUUGAGGUGGAAUUUUUGAAAGAAGAAUUUAGUCAUUUGUAGUUGUGUGAUUUCUUCAAAAGUUUUUAAACUGCGGGUUGCAUGGGAUCACAUAACUGAGUGUGUGUGUCGCUGUGGGGGCGGGGGUGUCCUCAAAAAC